AUUGAUGAUCCUAACCUGUGCAGGCCUAGGCCAAGAUAACUCAGCCUACUUAAAGCCCACCAGAAAGUCAGUGAACAAAUCUCCCAACCCACUCACCCACCAUCAACCCAUAAACUCACCAGCAUGUAUUGAAGGCCUACCUUGUUGUGCCUGGCACAGUGUUUGGUGCCAUGUGGAAUGGCAAAGCAGGACCAGACAGCGUCCCUGACACCCUGGUGCUUGUAAUCUAGUUGGAGAGAUAUGAUAAAAAUAAAUGACACAAUUACAGAAUCUGACAGAAUGUAAUAAAGUGCUAAAUUGUGUGGUACAGACAAUUAGAGAACAAGACAGUAUAUAAUAAAGUGCUAAUUGUGUGGUACAGACAAUAAGUAUAAUAGGAGUUCAGUGAAGGGAUAGAUGAGUGUGGGCUGCAGUCUUCAGGGAAGGCUUCUCAUCAUGUCAGUGCUGCCGUGUUUAUCCAGUGCAUGACGGGAAAUGGAAUAUGAAAUAGAAGAUGGAUUAUGAGCAGAAUAAUGGUGCUGAACUGUGGUAUCUCUUCUCAGGCUGGAUGAACACAGAAAGAGAAAGAGUCCUUUGAAAGGUAGCAUUCUCCAUUAAAAAAAAUCAAAUAGAGAAAUAUUUUAUUUUCUUUAUUAGUUUUGUUAUAGAAAAUUUCUACAGAAACUUAAAAUCAUAUUUUAAAUUGAAUAAUGUUUUAAAUGUACCAGGAAGCUCACUGUUUAAAGGAGCCAUGUUGUAAAUCCUUUUCAUAAAUGAAAAAUACUUUUGCAUUAUUGAUGAUCACUUAGUUUAUACAAAAUUCCUCAAAGCUGAUAGUAAAUAGGUACUCUGAUACACUACUGGUGGGAUUGAUGAACCUUUUACAAGGUAACUUGGCAAUGUGUGCCUAAAAUUUUGACAAUGUGCAUAUUGUUCAACCAAUCAGUUUCACUUCUGGGAAUUUAUCCUAAGGACAUAAUAAUAAUAGCCAACUGCAAGAAUAACUUUACUACAGUGAUAAUUAUCACAGAGUUAGGAGAAACUGGGAACAAUCUAAAUGCCCCCAAAGAGAGGACUGAUGAAAUAAAC
rnacentral:lncRNA from 1 species